rnacentral:rRNA from 1 species
CGAAGCCUACGGGGCGCAGCAGUAGGGAAUCUUCGGCAAUGGGCGAAAGCCUGACCGAGCAACGCCGCGUGAAUGAAGAAGGCCUUCGGGUUGUAAACUUCUGUUAUAAGGGAAGAAAGGUGAUAGGAGGAAAUGACUAUCAAUUGACGGUACCUUAUGAGAAAGCCACGGCUAACUACGUGCCAGCAGCCGCGGUAAUACGUAGGUGGCAAGCGUUAUCCGGAAUUAUUGGGCGUAAAGAGCGCGCAGGUGGUUAAUUAAGUCUGAUGUGAAAGCCCACGGCUUCACCCUGGAGGGUCAUUGGU